GGCAGCAGUGGGGAAUCUUCGGCAAUGGGCGAAAGCCUGACCGAGCAACGCCGCGUGAAUGAUGAAGGCCUUCGGGUUGUAAAAUUCUGUUAUAAGGGAAGAACGACUUUAGUAGGAAAUGGCUAGAGUGUGACGGUACCUUAUGAGAAAGCCACGGCUAACUACGUGCCAGCAGCCGCGGUAAUACGUAGGUGGCGAGCGUUAUCCGGAAUUAUUGGGCGUAAAGAGCGCGCAGGUGGUUGAUUAAGUCUGAUGUGAAAGCCCACGGCUUAACCGUGGAGGGUCAUUGGAAACUGGUCGACUUGAGUGCAGAAGAGGGAAGUGGAAUUCCAUGUGUAGCGGUGAAAUGCGUAGAGAUAUGGAGGAACACCAGUGGCGAAGGCGGCUUCCUGGUCUGUAACUGACACUGAGGCGCGAAAGCGUGGGGAGCAAACAGGAUUAGAUACCCUGGUAGUCCACGCCGUAAACGAUGAGUACUAGGUGU
rnacentral:rRNA from 1 species